AGUGAACGCUGGCGGUAGGCCUAACACAUGCAAGUCGAACGGCAGCACAGUAAGAGCUUGCUCUUACGGGUGGCGAGUGGCGGACGGGUGAGGAAUACAUCGGAAUCUACUUUUUCGUGGGGGAUAACGUAGGGAAACUUACGCUAAUACCGCAUACGACCUACGGGUGAAAGCAGGGGAUCUUCGGACCUUGCGCGAUUGAAUGAGCCGAUGUCGGAUUAGCUAGUUGGCGGGGUAAAGGCCCACCAAGGCGACGAUCCGUAGCUGGUCUGAGAGGAUGAUCAGCCACACUGGGACUGAGACACGGUCCAGACUCCUACGGGAGGCAGCAGUGGGGAAUAUUGGACAAUGGGCGCAAGCCUGACCCAGCCAUACCGCGUGGGUGAAGAAGGCCUUCGGGUUGUAAAGCCCUUUUGUUGGGAAAGAAAAGCAGCAGGUUAAUACCCCGCUGUUCUGACGGUACCCAAAGAAUAAGCACCGGCUAACUUCGUG
rnacentral:rRNA from 1 species